CUGAGUUCUGGGUCUAACCGACCCGACCUCCAACCCUUUGUUAUCCAACUCUGUUGCCUCGGGGGCGACCCUGACCUUCGGGUCUCGGGGCCCCCGGUGGACUAUUCAAACUCUGCGUUAAUUUGUCGUCUGAGUAUUGAUUAAAUCAAAUCA
rnacentral:misc_RNA from 2 species